rnacentral:snRNA from 1 species
GGAUGUGAGGGCGAUCUGGCUGCGACAUCUGUCACCCCAUUGAUCGCCAGGGUUUAUUCGGCUGAUCUGGCUGGCUAGGCGGGUGUCCCCGUCCUCCCUCACCGCUCCAUGUGCGUCCCUCCCGAAGCUGCGCGCUCGGUCGAAGAGGACGACCUUCCCCAAUAGAGGGUAUAGGAGUAGCUGCGCUCCCCUGCUAGAACCUCCAAACAAGCUCUCAAAAUGCUGUCCCCUAAAAAGACCAGUGUACACAGUCUUUGUGGUAAACAAGAUAUUAGAAAGAACUUAGAAUAAUAAUUGCACAGCUCUAUUUCCUGCAGAUUAAAGAUUG